CACGGGGGGAGCAAGCGUUGUUCGGAAUCACUGGGCGUAAAGGGCGUGUAGGCGGUCAGGUAAGUGAGAUGUGAAAUGCCCCGGCUCACCCGGGGACCGGCAUCUCAUACUGCUUGGCUUGAGUACGAAAGAGGGUCGCGGAAUUCCCGGUGUAGAGGUGAAAUUCGUAGAUAUCGGGAGGAACACCGGUGGCGAAGGCGGCGACCUGGGUCGAUACUGACGCUGAGGUGCGAAAGCGUGGGGAGCAAACAGG
rnacentral:rRNA from 1 species